rnacentral:rRNA from 1 species
UACAGAGGUGGCAAGCGUUGUUCGGAAUUACUGGGCGUAAAGGGCGCGUAGGCGGCCUACUAAGUCAGACGUGAAAUCCCCCGGCUUAACCUGGGAACUGCGUCUGAUACUGGGAGGCUUGAGUAUGGGAGAGGGAUGUAGAAUUCCAGGUGUAGCGGUGAAAUGCGUAGAUAUCUGGAGGAAUACCGGUGGCGAAGGCGGCAUCCUGGACCAUUACUGACGCUGAGGCGCGAAAAGCUAGGGGGAGCAAAACGGGG